rnacentral:misc_RNA from 1 species
CUUUGAGACAAUAAAGCAAAUACUAUUUUAUAAAUAAAAUUGGUUUUAGCACAAUCCCAACUUGAUCUAGGAACCUUAUUUUGCUUCCACAUGAUUUUACACUGAAAUAAAAAUGUUGGCAUACUACUGUCACCAUAUGAUUUGGAUCAUAUGAAUUCUAAUAGAAUCGAUGAGUUGCAAUAGCUUGAAGAUUGAUUCUUUUACGCGCUGUGAGCCCCGGAGUUUCCAACAUAUCUAGAUUCUCUCCUUCUAGGCCAUCCGGCAGUUUCCAGUCGAAUCGAUGGACCAAAUUUGCCACGGCAAGCUCGACUGUUGUGACUCCAAAUUGAAUCCCAGGGCAAAUCCUACGCCCUGCACCAAAUGGAAUUAGCUGGAAAUCAUUCCCCUUGAAAUCCAAAGGACUAUCUAUGAAUCUCUCCGGGAUGAAUUCUUCAGGAUUCUCCCAGACAUUUGGGUCUCGUCCAAUGGCCCAUACAUUAAUCACCACUCUUGUUUUCUUGGGUAUGUGAAAGU